UACAGAGGGUGCAAGCGUUAUCCGGAAUGAUUGGGCGUAAAGCGUCCGCAGGUGGCAAUGUAAGUCUGCUGUCAAAGCGUCUGGCUCAACCAGAUAAAGGCAGUGGAAACUACAUAGCUAGAGUAAGGUAGGGGUAGAGGGAAUUCCUGGUGUAGCGGUGAAAUGCGUAGAGAUCAGGAAGAACACCGGUGGCGAAAGCGCUCUGCUGGACCUUAACUGACACUGAGGGACGAAAGCUAGGGGAGCGAAUGGG
rnacentral:rRNA from 1 species